rnacentral:rRNA from 1 species
GAUGAACGCUGGCGGCGUGCCUAAUACAUGCAAGUCGAGCGAACAGACGAGGCGCUUGCUCCUCUGACGUUAGCGGCGGACGGGUGAGUAACACGUGGAUAACCUACCUAUAAGACGGGGAUAACUUCGGGAAACCGGAGCUAAUACCGGAUAAUAUAUUGAACCGCAUGGUUCAAUAGUGAAAGACGGUUUUGCUGUCACUUAUAGAUGGAUCCGCGCCGCAUUAGCUAGUUGGUAAGGUAACGGCUUACCAAGGCGACGAGGCGUAGCCGACCUGUGAGGGUGAUCGGCCACACUGGAACUGCGACACGGUCCAGACUCCUACGGGAGGCAGCAGUAGGGAAUCUUCCGCAAUGGGCGAAAGCCUGACGGAGCAGCGCCGCGUGAGUGAUGAAGGUCUUCGGAUCGUAAAACUCUGUUAUUAGGGAAGAACAAAUGUGUAAGUAACUAUGCACGUCUUGACGGUACCUAGUCAGAAAGCCACGGCUAACUACGUG